rnacentral:rRNA from 1 species
GUGCCAGCCGCCGCGGUAAUACGGAGGGUGCAAGCGUUAUCCGGAUUUAUUGGGUUUAAAGGGUCCGUAGGCGGAUCGUUAAGUCAGUGGUGAAAGCCCACAGCUCAACUGUGGAACUGCCAUUGAUACUGGCGAUCUUGAGUGCGUGUGAAGUUAGCGGAAUGUGUGGUGUAGCGGUGAAAUGCUUAGAUAUCACACAGAACACCAAUUGCGAAGGCAGCUGGCUAACACGCAACUGACGCUGAGGGACGAAAGUGUGGGGAUCAAACAGGAUUAGAAACCCUGGUAGUCC